GGCUCAGGGCAAACGCUGGCGGCGCGCUUCACACAUGCAAGUCGCACGAGAAAGGGGGCAACCCUGAGUAAAGUGGCGUACGGGUGAUUACCACGUGGAUUAUCUACCUUUUAGUGGGGAAUACCUCCGGGAAACUGGAGACAAUACCGCAUAAGCCUGUAAAGGGAAAGCAGCAAUGCGCUGAAAGAGGAGUCCGCGGCUGAUUAUGCUAGUUGGCGGGGUAAUGGCCCACCAAGGCGAAGAUCGGUAGCCGGCCUGAGAGGGCUCACGGCCACACUGGCACUGAAACACGGGCCAGACUCCUACGGGAGGCAGCAGUGGG
rnacentral:rRNA from 1 species